rnacentral:misc_RNA from 1 species
GAUGAAGAACGCAGCGAAAUGCGAUACUUGGUGUGAAUUGCAGAAUCCCGUGAACCAUCGAGUCUUUGAACGCAAGUUGCGCCCGAAGCCAUCAGGUUGAGGGCACGUCUGCCUGGGCGUCACAUAUCGUUGCCCAAUGCCUAUUGCAGUGCAAUAGGAAUUUCUAGGGCGAAUGAUGGCUUCCCGUGAGCGUUGUUGCCUCGCGGUUGGUUGAAAAUCGAGUCCUUGGUAGGGUGUGCCAUGGUAGAUGGUGGUCGAGUUAGAACGAUACCGAUCAUGUGCAUGCUCCCCAAAAUAUGGCCUCUAUGACCCACACGCGUCUUUUGACGCUCAUGACGAGACCUCAGGUCAGGCGGGGCUACCCGCUGAGUUUAAGCAUAUCAAUAAGCGGAGGA